ACACCAAGCUGAGUGGUGCAGUCGAUACACUGGAAGGAAGGGAAGCCAUCCAGAGGGACCUGGAGAGGCUGGAGAAGUGGGCCCAUGAAAACCUAAUGAGGUUCAAUAAGGCCAAGUGCAGGGUGCUGCACUUGGGUCGGGGCAAUCCCAGGUAUUUAUACAAACUGGGGGAUGAUCUCCUUGAGAGCAGCCCUGCGGAGAAGGACUUGGGGGUCCUGGUAGACGAGAAGCUGGGCAUGAGCCAGCAGUGUGUGCUUGCACCCCAGAAGGCCAGUUGUGUUCUGGGCUGCAUUAAAAAAGGGGUGGCCAGCAGGGAGAGGGAAGUGAUUACGCCCCUCUACUCAUCUCUUGUGAGGCCCCAUGUGGAG
ensembl:lncRNA